rnacentral:rRNA from 1 species
AUACGGAGGGAGCAAGCGUUAUUCGGAAUCACUGGGCGUAAAGGACGCGUAGGCGGGUUUGUAAGUCAGGUGUGAAAUCCUACAGCUCAACUGUAGAACUGCACUUGAAACUACAGACCUAGAGUAUGGAAGGGGCAGAUGGAAUUAGUGGUGUAGGGGUAAAAUCCGUAGAUAUCACUAGGAAUACCGAAAGCGAAGGCGAUCUGCUGGGACAUUACUGACGCUGAGGCGUGAAAGCGUGGGGAGCAAACAGCAUUAGAAACCCUAGUAGUCC